AGUUUUUUCUCUUAUAGGCUCCCCAUUCCAAUACUUGUGAGCAGGGUUGCUUCAAAUUACUGCUUGCAGGAAAGUAGCAUGUGGUGACUGGAAAUAGAAUUGAAAAGUACAAAUCACAAGAUGUGGAAAAUCACAUUUUAAGAUUAAUGAAAAAGACCAACUGUAGAAAGGAUGGAAAACAUGACCUAUUGCUGCUAGUAGGUGUACUGAAGCUGAUGUUCCCCUUACAUAUUGCCAAGAGAGAAAGAAAAUACCCUUUCAUUGGCUACUGUACUUAGAAUGGCUCCUAAAACCAAGCAAGAAAACCACAGUGUUCUUGGCAAGCCAACAAUUGAAAAGUACAGGUGCUGGGAGUGUGCACAGCCUCAAAAUCAACAUGACUUGGGAGGAGAAGGGGUUGGAUAAUAAAGAAAGGUGCUUUUCA